rnacentral:rRNA from 1 species
GACGUAGGGCGCGAGCGUUGUCCGGAUUUAUUGGGCGUAAAGAGCUCGUAGGCGGCUUGUCGCGUCGUCCGUGAAAACCUGCAGCUCAACUGCAGGCUUGCGGUCGAUACGGGCAGGCUAGAGUUCGGUAGGGGAGACUGGAAUUCCUGGUGUAGCGGUGAAAUGCGCAGAUAUCAGGAGGAACACCGGUGGCGAAGGCGGGUCUCUGGGCCGAAACUGACGCUGAGGAGCGAAAGCGUGGGGAGCGAACAGG